rnacentral:tRNA from 1 species
CGCGGGGUGGAGCAGUUGGCAGCUCGUCGGGCUCAUAACCCGAAGGUCGAUAGUUCGAGUCUAUCCCCCGCAA